AUGAUGGUUAAUUAUAUAGUUUAUAUAAUAAUAAUGCAGAUGAAUCGGCAAUGGAUGUACGGUCCCCGACUCUCCGGCGAGUUCACUACGGGUUUGAAAGAUUUCCUCGUAGUGGCAAAUGCGAACAAGCAGCAAGGUUUUAUUAUCUGUCCAUGUGCUGUCUGUAAGAAUCAGAAGGGUUACUCCUCCUCAAGAGACGUUCACAUGCACCUGCUUCGGCACGGUUUCAUACCAAGCUAUAAUUGUUGGACCAAGCAUGGAGAAAGAGGGGUUAGAAUGGAAGAAGAUGAAGAAGGGGAUGAUAUCGAUGACAACUAUCAUGAUCAUUUCGGUGAUACUUUCAUGGAGGAUGAUGCUGAAGGUGGGGAAGGGUUAGGUGAAGGUGAAGAAGAGGCACAUGAUGAGCCCGCUGAUGAUCUUGGUCGGACCAUUGCUGAUGCACGGAGACGCUGCGAAACUGACAAGGAUAGGGAGAAUUUGGAUCGCAUGUUAGAGGAUCACAAAAAGUCGUUGUAUCCAGGAUGCGAUAAUAGUCUGAAAAAGCUGGGCUGCACACUGGAUUUGCUAAAAUGGAAGGCACAGGAAGGUGUAGGUGACUCAUCAUUUGAAAAUUUGCUGAAAAUGUUGAAGAAUAUGUUUCCGAAGAAUAACGAGUUGCCCGCCAGUACGUACGAAGCAAAGAAGGUUGUCUGCCCUCUAGGUUUAGAGGUUCUGAAGAUACAUGCAUGCAUUAACGACUGCAUCCUCUACCGCGGUGAAUACUAG
rnacentral:rRNA from 1 species